GGCUGGUUUAACCCAAUAAGGACAGGGAAGUGACGGCAAGCAGACGGCAAUCAGACCAUCGUUGGUCUGAUUGGUUGAAGGACUGUCCAAUUGCGUAGAGUCAUUUUAACUACGGCAGUUGAUCACGCCUUGACAGCAGCCUCCCCAGACCAAGGUGCAAUCUACGAUUGAGCUGCCAAUAGCUAGGCUAUUUACUCCCAUUCCCGCAAACACGUCACGGUGGAGACCCAGACCUACUGAUACGUGGUCGUUUUCGCUUGAAAUCCUCAAUAAGCCCUACCAACAUGUGCCCUUCUGUUGAUUAAUUGGUUGUAAAAAAGGGGACCAAACUGAAGACGCUGGGAUCCAGCAUCUAGGAGACAUCCUGAAGCAACAGGACAUCUUCACAACCCUGACUCAGCAGCGACAGUUGAGCCAGCCUCUGCAGCUUAAGGACAACUUCAGCUUGAUCAAAAACUGGGGGGCAAUUACCUUUAGGGUCUACUUGUGUUUCCGUGUCCAUUAUAUACCUUGUGAAUCACUGUUUUAAAUGGGAGAUGACGACUAGUCUUUGUUUGUCGUUUGAAUUUUUUGAAAUAGCCCCUUACAUAGUUCUUCUAAUGAGGCAAAAUGUCAAUAGUGGGAUAGAGAUUAGUAAAUGGUAUACCAGUAUACAAUCCAAUCUAUUUAAUUUGUGCUGCA